rnacentral:ncRNA from 1 species
CGUUUUCGGGGCAGGGUGAAAUUCCCGACCGGCGGUAUAGUCCGCGAGCUGCGGCUUUGCACAGGAAACUGGCAGAGCAUUUAACAGUUGAUUUGGUGAGAUUCCAAAACCGACAGUAAAGUCUGGAUGAGAGAAAGCG